GCUGGCGGCGCUUUUCACCAUGCGAGAAGAAAGAGAAAGGGGAGCAAUCCCUGAGUACAGUGGCGUACGUUUGACUAACACGUGGAUGAUAUACAUCUUACUGGGGGAUAUCUCUGGGAAACCGGAGUUAAUACCGCAUAAGCUCGAGAGAGGAAACCCGCAAGGGGCUGAGAGAGGAGUCCGCGGCCGAUUAGCUAGUUGGUAGGGUAAGAGCCUACCAAGGCGAUGAUCUGUAGCCGGCCUGAGAGGGCGGUCGGCCACACUGACACUGACAUACGGGUCAGACUCCUACGGGAGGCAGCAGUGGG
rnacentral:rRNA from 1 species